GCAAAGUCCUGCUCCUUCGAAAUCAAGAGCUGGAACAGAAGACAAGAGAAAAGACUCCAACAAACAGGACGAUAUUAAAACGCGUUGCAGAAAUGAGGGAGAAAGAGGCACUUUCUGUUCUGAUGGAAAUAAAUGUGAUGGAGAGAUUUACACCCAGGAAGAUUCCCCAAUUUACUUGUAUUAUCUGUCAUUACUUUGCAAUGCUGGAGCUGAUAAUCCUGAUAUCAAAGAAGCAGUUGCGCUCUCUAAGAUUGUUCGAAUAGGAGAUAUAUUACCCAAAAGGCCGCUAUCACCACUUUACGCCUAUCACAAGAAACAUGAGAACACUACAAUAAAACCUGCAGGAGAGAAACCCAAACAAUAAAUGCCGAGGUGUUUAAUACUAAACUAUUCACUAGGUUCUGCAUCUUAAAGGGAUUCUAUAAUAAGCAAUAAAAGCAAAUAAUGAUAAAUGACUCUCCCAAUCAAUGAUCUAACGUUAAUAGUGCAUGACUACACAGCCAACGCAUUUCACUGCUGGCUGGGCUUCGGAACUCAAUAAUUUCCCUGUUAAUAUUAUGAAAAAUGAAUGAUAGCCCUUCAUUCCUGGUCUCGUCAUGAAGUGAAAAUGCUUAUUUAUUUCUUCAGAUUUCAAUGCUUUCUGAUUGUUACAAAUGAAAUAAAAAUCAUUGCUUAACCAAUUA